CAGGAAGCCCCGCCUCGUGGCGGGCAAGGUCGAGCCGUUGGCGCGCCGGGAUUCGGCUCGAACCAACUGAGGACCGGACCCGGGCGCCCGCAGGACCGAGCUCUCAUUCGUUCAGCCUUCCCCGGGCAAGAUGCACCUCCUGUCCAAGCCUCUCGCCCUGCUGCCCGCCGCAGACUGAAGGUCACGCAUCUCCAGCUGGAAUGCUGCAAAAGUGACGCUUUUCAUCAUGUGUGCAAAGUGUACUGCUGCGGUGUGGACUCUUCCCUCUUACAACAAGUAGACCCUCUCUGGGGAGAAAAGAAAGAAUUAAGAACCGACCCCCAUGAAAGAACCCUAAUAAGACAGCAACAAAGGGCCAGACGCGCCCCUGGAACUGGACCUGGGGCGGGGGGGGGGUGGGGGAGCACAGCCCUGGGAGCCCAGGUCCCCGCCUGCUCCUCCGACAGUCCCCUGCGCGCCUGCGCGCGCUGCCGCCACGGGGCUUCUGCCUCUGGGCCUCCGCAUCUCGCGCCUGGAACCACGUUCCCUGCGCACUGCACCAGUAAACACCUGAACACUCCCACCACAUGCUGCACGUUUAUUUGUAACAAAUUAGAAGCUGUUGUAAAACAU